AUACUUACCUUGCAGGGGAGAUACCAUGAUUGCGAAGGUGGUUUUCCCAGGGCGAGACUGGGCGAGGCUUAUCCAUUGCACUCCAGAUGUGCUGACCCCUGUGAUUUCCCCAAAUUCGGGGAAACUCAACUGCAUAAUUUGUGGUAGUGGGGGACUGCUCUCCCCUG